GACGAACGCUGGCGGCGUGCUUAACACAUGCAAGUCGAACGGAAAGGCCCUGCUUGCAGGGUACUCGAGUGGCGAACGGGUGAGUAACACGUGGGUGAUCUGCCCUGCACUUCGGGAUAAGCCUGGGAAACUGGGUCUAAUACCGGAUAGGAGCCAUUUUUAGUGUGAUGGUUGGAAAGUUUUUUCGGUGUAGGAUGAGCUCGCGGCCUAUCAGCUUGUUGGUGGGGUAAUGGCCUACCAAGGCGGCGACGGGUAGCCGGCCUGGGAGGGUGGACGGGCACAUUGGGACUGAGAUACGGCCCAGACUCCUACGGGAGGCAGCAGUGGGGAAUAUUGCACAAUGGGCGCAAGCCUGAUGCAGCGACGCCGCGUGGGGGAUGACGGCCUUCGGGUUGUAAACUCCUUUCGCUAGGGACGAAGCUUUUUGUGACGGUACCUAGAUAAGAAGCACCGGCUAACUACGUG
rnacentral:rRNA from 1 species